ensembl:misc_RNA Metazoa_SRP Metazoan signal recognition particle RNA
GCCGGACGCAGUGGCGCGUGUCUGCAGUCCCAGCUAUUCGGGAGGCUGAGGCUGGAGGAUCUCGAGUCCAGGAGUUCUAGGCUGUAGUGCGCUAUGCCGAUCGGGUGUCCGCACCAAGUUCCGCAUCAAUAUGGUGACCUCCUGGGAGCAGGGGACCACCAGGUCGCCUAAGGAGGGGUGAACCGGCCCAGGUCGGAAACGGAGCAGGUCAAAAAUAAAAAAUAAUCCUGGCCGGGCAUGGUGGCUCACACUUGUAAUCCCAGCACUUUGGGAGGCCAAGGUGGGUGGAUCACCU